GGCUUGGCCCCUGUGGCAGAUUGCAUAAGGAAGUUACAUUAUGAAGCUUUUUUAGAUUAAAAACUUUCAUGUCACUCUUCCUUAAACAUGUUAAAUUGAAGGAAUCUUUGUCCCUCUGGUAUUUGAAUAUAGAAGUAAAAUCUAUGAAAUAUUUUGACUAUACAGUGUACUUUUCUAAACACCAUUUCAAUAAUAAAGCUAUUCAUUUGGGAUAUUUAGUAUCUUCAGUUAAAUCACUAAUUUUUAGAGUGAUAUACAUAUUUCAGCAUAGGUAAAUUCUAAUUUGAAAAGUUUAGUUAUCUUUUCCCUUAAAAACAUACAAAUAAUACAUCAACUGACUUACUGUUUUAAAUUGUUCUUGUAUUUAGAAUUUGCAAAACAUUUAUUCUUGUGUGAUGUUUAUAUAUAGUUGAUAUUCGGUCUGUACACAAUAUUACGUGUUAUGAUGCAAGUUUUGAAGUUCUAUAUGGUCAAGUUAAUAAAAACAUAGGAUCCAAUAUCAAUCUAACAUCAUUGGUAAAGUAUCUGUAUUGAUUUCGAUUUGCAGUACAUGUACUGAUGUUGUAGUAUUGUUGUUCACAGUGAGAAUGAAAGUGAACGUGCAUAAGCUUUGUAUUGUACAUGUUUUGUAAUUAAAUAAAAAUCCAUGUAUGGUC
rnacentral:sRNA from 1 species